rnacentral:lncRNA from 1 species
AUGGCCACCAUCGGCUCCACGGUCUGCUUGGAGCAGCCUGCGGGGUGCUUGUGGGGUCGGAGGGGCCUGAUGGGGUCUGCAGAGCUCAGCUGGGACCACCCCAAGCUCGCCCUGUGCCCCCCAAUGGGGCCGGGCUGUCCGCAUCCAUCCCUGACACCUCCGCUCCUCCAUCCCACAGAGCCCGGCCCCGGCACUGAGCGGGGCAUGGACGGCCCCGAAAUCUUCCUGGGCCCCUGCGAGGGAGCCCUCUGCGGGGUCCCGGGGCAGAAGCGCCGCUGCAUGUCGGCCCUGGAGCCCGUCACUGUGCCCAGCCCCAAAUCCGAGGCCAGCUGGGGCGAGGAGGAGGAGGAAGAGGAGGAAGAUGAAGAGGAUGAAGAGCGGUCCCGGGGGGUGCCGCUGCGGCGAGCCUGUGCCCUGCGGACCUCGAUGCGCAGCCGGGACCCGUUCCGACGGCACAGCUGGGAGCCGGGCAAGGAGCUGCGCGGGGUCCCCGGCUACGACCAGCUCAGCGUGAGCCUCAAGGGGCUGAGCCCCGACGACAUCGACUCCAGCACGGAGCAGCUGGACGGGCUGGGGAGACGCCGGUGGGACCCCCGGAGAGCCCCCCUGAUCCACAGCACCGAGUCCCUGCUGUCCCUGGACGAGGAGGACGAGGCCGAUCUGCAGCGGGCGCAGGUAGGAGAUGCUGCUGCUCUUCCUCCUCCUCUUCCUCCUCCUCUUCCUCCUCCUCCUGCCACCCCAGGGUGCAGCACCCACCUCCCCCUGCAGCUGGCAGCACGGGGCCGAGGCCGGGGGACCCCAAGAACCGCGGUGGAUGGAGGCAGCCCAGCAGAGCCCCUGCCCCGGGUGCCUUCUCCAUCCCCCCGGGGGGGGUCGGUUUUUUUUUUUUUUGGGGGGGGGGGCUUCAUUUUGGGGAGGGGGAAAUUAAAGCUCUGUGAGCCCAGGGAGCGCCCGGUGCACGGGGACCCCGCUGGCACCACAAAGGGCAACCACCACCCUGCGCCCAGGGACUGGGGUCGGUGAUCCCAGUGAUCCCAGUGGUCCCAGUGAUCCCAGUGAUCCCAGUGAUCCCGGUGGUCCCAGUGGUCCCGGUGGUCCCGGUGAUGCCAACCCCAUGCCUGCUGGCAGGAGGACGCGCGGAGGCUUCAGGUGUACGGGGCCAGGAGCGCCGGCGGCUGCGCCCUCGCCAAAUCCGCGUCCCUCAGCGUCAUCGACAGCUUCCCCCCCGCCGUGGGUGAGUGCCAGCGCCCGCAGGGAUGGGUGGGGGUUUUGGGGCGAUGGGACCCCCGCCCCUCCUUUAAUUCGGGCCCCCUCUCUUGCAGAAAUUUCCCCCUUCGCCUCCCAGCAGAGCCUGGCCAACGGGUGAGUGUGGGGGCUGCGGGGGGCGCAGGGGGGUGUG